UACGUAGGGGGCGAGCGUUGUCCGGAUUUAUUGGGCGUAAAGAGCUCGUAGGCGGUUCGAUAAGUCGGACGUGAAAUCUCCACGCUCAACGUGGAGGGCCGUUCGAUACUGUCGUGACUCGAGUCCGGUAGGGGAGUGUGGAAUUCCCGGUGUAGCGGUGAAAUGCGCAGAUAUCAGGAGGAACACCGGUGGCGAAGGCGGUUCUCUGGGCCGAAUUGACGCUGAGGAGCGAAAGCGUGGGGAGCAAACAGG
rnacentral:rRNA from 1 species